rnacentral:misc_RNA from 1 species
UUCCUCAUAUCUCGUCAAAUCCCUUCUCACAGUCCUUAAGAAAAUGACAAAAACAAUGCCAGCUAGGAAAAAGAUCACCAUAAGAGAAUUUAGAAUAGAGAACCAAUGGACACGAGCACCUUCCAUCUUCAAAUAAGCAUCCCACCGUGAUGGCCAUCUGAUAUCACUUUUCACAAAUGCAACUUCAUAAGUGAAAGAAACUCUCUCUUGCUCUCUUAUGACCUGAGACUUGUCAAGGUCCAAGGGGCAGU